rnacentral:lncRNA from 1 species
GAAGACAAAAGGAAUAAUCUGAGACCCAGCUGGUACGACCUCAAGAAGUAAGGGGCUCUGGAUCAUGGAGUUGUCACCCUAAAACAGAGGGAUGAGUUCUCACUGUGUUGCCUGGACUGGUCUCGAAAUCCUGACCUUAAGUAAUGCUUCUGCCUUGGCCUCCCAAAAUGCUGAAAUUACAGGCGUGAGCCAUCAUUCCCAGCCCAGCAGUCUUCAUCUUAAGAAGAAAGCUGCCCAGCAUCAGAGGGGUCAGGUUCCCUUCUAAACAGAAUAUGAUAAUGCUGGCCUGCCAAAACUACAGCUUCCCCUUUAGGAAAGAACUAUGGCAAUUCCAGAGUUCACAACUGCAUUCAGACCUGGCCUACAGAGCAUCUCACACUCACUGUGCUUGUGACAUUCCCUUGUACCAGGCCCUCCACAAAGAGCUGGGAUUUGAAUUCUUUGACGAAGCUCAGCAGAGACUCAAGGGAAAGGCCGUCCAUCAAAGCCUGGUACUUGUCAAUCAUAGACCAACGGGCAUAUUCCAAGAUUAAAAGCCGUACAUCUCUGUACAGAGGGCAGAAAAAAAACACUCAAAGUUUUGUUAUUAGAAAUGAAUCUUCAGAAUAAAGAAAUGUUUGGU